rnacentral:rRNA from 1 species
UCAAGAAACUUCCACAAUGGGCGAAAGCCUGAUGGAGCAACGCCGCGUGAAGGAUGAAGUAUUUCGGUAUGUAAACUUCGAAAGAAUAGGAAGAAUAAAUGACGGUACUAUUUAUAAGGUCCGGCUAACUACGUGCCAGCAGCCGCGGUAAUACGUAGGGACCAAGCGUUGUUCGGAUUUACUGGGCGUAAAGGGCGCGUAGGCGGCAAUUCAAGUCAUCUGUGAAAUCUCCGGGCUUAACUCGGAACGGUCAGAUGAUACUGCUUUGCUAGAGUGCAGAAGGGGCAAUCGGAAUUCUUGGUGUAGCGGUGAAAUGCGUAGAUAUCAAGAGGAACACCUGAGGUGAAGACGGGUUGCUGGGCUGACACUGACGCUGAGGCGCGAAAGCCAGGGGAGCAAACGGGAUUAGAUACCCUUGUAGUCCCUGAGCGGGCUGGCAAGGCGCAU